UAUUCCAAUAAAAAGAAGCAUCUUCUAAAGUACACAAAUUCAUCCUAAGACAUGAUACGGCUAAAUUAUACAGGUUUGUCAGAAAGUAAAAAUUCCUCCUAAAUUAGCGAUCUGGACCACUGUGCACCGGUGGAGGUCUUUACACUGAAAUUGCACUUUUCUUGCAGAAGUGCUGUCAAAACACCGACACCAUGUUCCAUUGAUUUGCACUGCAAUAAAAAGUGCAAUUUCAGUGCAAUUUCGGGGAAGAGAUUUGGCACCGAAAAUUUUGUCGGUGCGAGCCAGUGCACUCACUAACACCAACAACUCAAACGUCAAAAUAAUAUUAUAAUAAUGGCAUCUCAAAAAUAUUGCCAUCAGAAACAGAUGUAAACUAGAAAAUGAAUAAUGUUAUUGAAUAAUUAUUGUGUAAAUGAUUAGCGUUAAAUAAUUAUUACGAGAAAAUACUGGUGGAUCGAAUAAACUCAACAGUUUGCCGUUAGCAUUUCCCGUAUCAUAUCGAUUGAGUUUCGGGAAAAACAUUCCUUCAUAAGGAGCGGCUUGUCUCUUCUGGCGAAGUACAUAGACACGAAGUGUGCGGUGUGGCAUUUCCUGGAAGCCAGAGCCUAUGGAUCAGUAUCAGUACUCACACAUCGGUUCGCGGUUGUAUUGUUUCACCGUUUCCAGCAAAGAUUAUUCUUUCAAAAGUGUCCUGACCGCGAACAUUCGCAUUCAUACAGGUUUCUAUCGGUACAAAUGUGAUAACACAUGGUACAGAGCCACCGCACAGAUUGUUCGGCCUCCUACUCACAGAAAGAAGUGCAGAACAACCGGAAUUAACGGAGCAACCUGAAGGUAGAAUCUGCACUGUUUGUGGUAGAAGCUCCCAUCCUAACCAGCAAUUUCACAUAAUCACCACAAAGGUCUAUAAGCUUAACUACAAACCCGCAAUGCUCUUUUGCCGCUUGCAACUGUCCUACGACUUCGAUCACAAACGUGUACCAAACGUUGUUUGCUAACGGGUAUCAUAUUUUCAGUGAGAAAAGUCUAGCGGGAGCACGGAACAAUGAGCAAAGCCACCAGAAACUACCCAACCUACUGUGGGCAAUCGAUUCUGAACGUUAAUCUGCUAUUAAUUUAACGUUAACACUGUAAAACAUGUAUUUAAUGAAGAUAUAUAAACCAUACAUUGUUCAACAUAUAA